rnacentral:tRNA from 1 species
AUUUUCUAGUUAAUGAACUUGUUAAGUAUAUAUUUUGAAAAUAUAAUAAAGAAAUAAAAUUUUCUAUUAACU